GACGAACGCUGGCGGCGUGCCUAAUACAUGCAAGUAGAACGCACAGUUUAUACCGUAGCUUGCUACACCAUAGACUGUGAGUUGCGAACGGGUGAGUAACGCGUAGGUAACCUGCCUGGUAGCGGGGGAUAACUAUUGGAAACGAUAGCUAAUACCGCAUAAUAUUGAUUAUUGCAUGAUAAUUGAUUGAAAGAUGCUAUUGCAUCACUACCAGAUGGACCUGCGUUGUAUUAGCUAGUAGGUGAGGUAACGGCUCACCUAGGCGACGAUACAUAGCCGACCUGAGAGGGUGAUCGGCCACACUGGGACUGAGACACGGCCCAGACUCCUACGGGAGGCAGCAGUAGGGAAUCUUCGGCAAUGGACGAAAGUCUGACCGAGCAACGCCGCGGGAGUGAAGAAGGUUUUCGGAUCGUAAAGCUCUGUUGUAAGAGAAGAACGGGUGUGAGAGUGGAAAGUUCACACUGUGACGGUAUCUUACCAGAAAGAGACGGCUAACUACGUG
rnacentral:rRNA from 1 species